GACGUAGGUGGCGAACGUUAUCCGGAUUUAUUGGGCGUAAAGGAUGCGUAGACGGUAAAAUAAGUUAUUAGUUAACGCCAAGCUCAACUUGGCUGAAGCUAGUAAUACUGUUUUGCUAGAGGAUGGGAGAGGUUGAUGGAAGUCUAUGUGGAGCGGUAAAAUGUGUAGAUAUAUGGAAGAACACCAAUAACGGCGAAGGCAGUUAACUAUUCUGUUACUGACAUUGAGGCACGAAAGCGUGGGGAGCAAAACGG
rnacentral:rRNA from 1 species